rnacentral:rRNA from 1 species
AGGAUUAACGCUGGCGGCGUGCCUGACACAUGCAAGUCGAACGAGGCCGCAAGGCCGAGUGGCGGACGGGUGAGUAACACGUGACCAACCAACCUCGAAGUUGGGAAUAGCUCUGCGAAAGUAGGGGUAAUACCGAAUGUGGCCCAGGGCAGGCAUCUGCCUUGGUCUAAAGAUUCAUCGCUUCGAGACGGGGUCGCGGCCUAUUAGCUUGUUGGUGGGGUAACGGCUCACCAAGGCGAUGAUGGGUAGCUGGUCUGAGAGGACGACCAGCCACACUGGGACUGAGACACGGCCCAGACUCCUACGGGAGGCAGCAGUGAGGAAUCUUCCGCAAUGGGCGAAAGCCUGACGGAGCAACGCCGCGUGUGGGAUGAAGGCUCUAGGGUUGUAAACCACUGUCGGAGGGGACGAUCGUGACGGUACCCUCCAAGAAACGCCCCGGCUAACUACGUGCCAGCAGCCGC